AAGCCUGGGAACCUCCAAAUGCCACAGAUGUGCCCCCCCCCCCCAAAAAAUGACCAGUACAAAGAAACAGUGAAGUUUGACUUACAUUGAGGAUGAGAUAUAAUUCAUGGAUGCAGACUGCAGAAUGACACACCUGACAGAAUCAGUAGACAAGAAUGUUAUAGAGUAGUUAUGACUCUUACUUCUCCAUUAAGUUAAAAAACAUAGGGAAGGUUAAGUAUGCUAAAUAUAGAUAUGGAAGACCUAAUCUUCUAGAGAUGUUUGUAUUGAAAAAUUAAUAAAAUAUUAAACACUUUGUAGAAUUGUGAACUUAAAGACUCAGCAAAAGAAACUAUCCACAGUGAAACACUCACAAAAAAACUGAAAUAAAUGAAAGAACCACCAUGAGUGAGCCAUGAGAAAACUUAAGAUUAAUAUAUGGGCAUUUUGAGUCUUAAAGGACAAGGAAGAAGUGGUGGACAAGUGAAUGCACAAAGAAUAUGAUGAAAUAAUAGUUUAAAAUGUUUCGUAUUUGUCAACUGUUAACUGGCCAACUCAAGAAGCUCAAUGAACCCAGUACAAUAAAUGCAGAGAAAAGUAUACUAAGUCAUUUCAUAAUUAUAUUGCUAAAAUGAAUGAUUAAAGAGAAAAUCUUAAGAACAGCCAGGAAAAUAAGACACAUUACUACUAGAAAAAGAAAGUGACAGCAGACUUCUUUUCACAUUGCAAAGACUAAUAUGAGAAAUCUGUAAAAGUAAAAUAAUCAUUUAAGAUAUAUUUCAAAUUCAGAAUAAAGACUUUUUCACAAAUUAAAAAUCAGCAAUAAAAUUAUACUAGAAGAAAUUUUAAAGGAAGUUCCUCAAAUAGAAAAUGUUUGAAAGUCUGCAUUUGCACAAAGAAAUCAACAGCAGAAGAAAUAAUUAUGUGAGUAAGCAUAAAGAAAAUUUUUUUUUCAAAUGUCUGCAAGGUAAUUAUUUAAAGAAGAAAAUAAUAGAAAUGUGUUAUGAUUUUUAUAAUGUAUCUAGAAGUAAAAUGUGUAAUAACAAUAGGACAAAGGUACGAGGGAAAUGGAAGCACCUUUUAUGAAGUAGUGUACUCUCUCAUAGAAAUAAAUGAUAGUGAUACAGUUAUACUAAAAACUGUAAAGCAAUCACAAAAAAAUUAUAGCUAAAAACUGACAUAGAAAAUUAAGAUUUAAAUCAUAAUCGAAAGAAGGAGGAUCAAACAUAAAAUAUAAUUUGUUAGGUUUAAACAUAUCAAUAUCCAUAAUUUUGUUAAAUGUAAAAGUUUAAAACACUGUAUAAAUGUUAGAAAUUGUGAGACUUAAAAAAUAGGUUAAAAUAGUGAAUGUGAAAGACACACCAUGUUAACACUAAUUAAAAUAAAGAUGGAGUGGCUCUAUUAUAGUAUCAGAUGAAAUAGAUUUCAAAGCAAAGUACAUUAUUAAAUAUAGUAUCAGAUGAAGUAGAUUUCAAAGCAAAGUACAUUAUCAGAGAUAAAGAACAUCAUUUAAUAACUGUAAAGUGGAUAUAAAAAUCUUAAAUAUUUAUCCACUCAUUAAAUAAACUUGUUAAAUAAAUGGGACAAAGUAUGUUAAACAUGCCUAAUCUUGAAAGACUGAAUGCAGUUUUCCUAAUAGCAUGGAUAAGGUAAGGGUGUCCGCUCUCAUGACUUCUAUUCCACAUUGUUCUGAAAGUUAUGAGUGCUCUAAGGCAAGAGAAGAGAACAAAUAUUGCUCGCGUUCGAAAAGUGAAACUGCCCAUUUUCACUACCAACCAUAUAUAAAAUUCUGCUGAAUCUAAAGAAACACUAAUAAAGGCAAUAAGCAAGUUUGAAGGAUAUAAGAUCAAUAUAAAAAUCCCUUGUAUUUCUUAUACAAUUAAAACUAUUAUAUAAAUUGAAUUUCAUCUAAAUUAAUUUCUCUGCUCCUUGCCAGUCACUGCAAAAUAAUUUAAAUAUAAGCCACAGACUGGAAGGUAAUAUUUACAAACCAUAUAUGUUACAGCAAAUUUGCCUCCAGAAUAUAUGAUCAGCUCUCAAAACUCAAUAAUUAGAAAACAAACAAUCCAUUUUUUUUAAGCAAAGAACUGCAUAUGUGUUAAUUUGCGGGUAGGAAGGCUGGGAUUCACACACCUAUGAGGCCUCAGGAGCCCUGCCAGGCAGCUUGAAGGAGCUUCUCUUUCUGCUACUUCUGUAUCCUCUCUUUGAUUUCUUUUAGCCCUUGGCACUGGCCUUCCUGCUCAGGUGGCCACAGCUCCCUCUUGCACUGUGGAGUAUAGUUCUCAAAUCAUUUAGUCCAAUUAACAAUCCAGAACAUAGCCACUAGAGAGAUGAGGUAAAGAGUUAUUUGAAAUACCUUCAGCUUCACUCCCAUUGAAGCAAAGGGGAAAAUACAGAUGCUAGAAUAGCUUUUCUCUUUGCAACAAAGAAAAAAUAUGAAAAAUGAAUUUGAGUAUUUUCUAUUAUUUUGGGUUAAAUGAGAGGUUACAACUAAGACAGCCAAAGAGAAACAUUCACAUGCAUCCACUGAAAUGGAAAGUCAAACUGGGUCCCUUGUUCCACUUCUGUUUGUGGUUACCUUUUUGAACAGACAAAGGGGGUUAAUUCAGUUCUGGAUGAUGAUGCCAUCCACAGUACCACAAUGUCAUUAGUUUUUCUCUGAAGUGACUUCUGAAGGUAGAAAUAAGCUAGUUGUCAGGACAAAUCGGUCCCUGCCAUGGCCACUCUCAUACUUGCUGGUGGGGCUGCUUCCCUUCUUAGUGCCUGUAAUCACCUCAUUGCUUCUCUUUUUCUCAACAAUAACCUGGUAUCACAAAGGUUUUGUAGCUGCCAUUGAUUUGCACCCACCAGCUCAGGCUUUGUGUUUGAGUACCUUUCAUUGCUUUUGCUUUAGAUCUUGUCCAUGCUUUUUCCUAUGGGGUGGUGAGACUAAUACAUUUUGCUCCAUCAUAAGCUAACAGUUAGUAAAUAAGUCUUUGUUAUUCAGAUGUCACAUCUGUAAAAUGGAAGCAUAAUGUAUGACCAAGUGUUGUGCAGAUUAAAUGAAAAUAAUGUACGUAAGAUAAUUCAUAUGAUGAGUGCUAUUUAGAAGUACUCUGCUUGUUUCAAAUUAUUUUCUAAAAGAAAAGUUGACUUUUACCCAUAGGUUAAAAUUGAUAGACUCAUUCAGAAAACAGUCUUUUUUCUUCCUAAAACAAUAGUUUAAAAGACCAAGCACUAUAAAAAGUGAUUUAUAUUAACCUGGGAAACCUGUUUUUUAUAGUUCAGAGAAUCAUAAUGCAUAUGAACAUUUCAGAAGACUUCUAGUCUUCACUAAAUAAAUCCAUUUGAUUUUUUUAGACCAAUUGCUUAACAAAUGUGUGUGAUGAUCUUUGAACAUACAUUUCACAUACAUUUCACAUCUUUAAACAUCACUACAGAUAGGAGACAUAUAUUGAGAAGCACACCACUGGAAAUUUUGAUUCAUAAAGAUAUUACAAGAAAAAAAAAAGGAAAGAAAUAGAAAUAUGUAAGAAAGUUUUUUGAGUAGUUUUCCAUAGCUCUAACCCAAAAUAUUCUCUGUCCAAACUUUACACUUCUGGACCUAAGUAUUAUUUCUAAAUUAAUACGGACUCUAUCAUCUGAAGCUAAAUCUAAGUUUUUAACUAUCUAGUGUUAGAUGGUUCUGUGACCUGUAUGUCUUUGAACUUAAAUAAUUUAAAAGUUAUCAUGGAGAAGAUGAGUACCAAAAACAAUACAGUAAAGUGUUUAUACUUAUUCUCAGAGUCCUGGCUGUGGCACAGUGAGUUAAGGAUCUGGUGUGGCAGCAGCCAUAAGCAUAGGUUGUGCUUGUGCCUCGGAUUCGAUCCCUGGCCUGGGAAAAUCCAUAUGCCAUGGGUGUGGCCAAAAAAUUAAAUAAAUAAAUAAAUAAAUAAAGCGUUUAUAUUUACUCAAAAAUUAGUUUGAAGAAAAAAAGAUAAAACCACACUAACCCUCCAGGUAAUGAUGUAGACAAGUAGAACCUAAUAAAAGGGUUUUAUUGCAUGAAACAAAAAUAGCAUGAUUUAGUAACUGAAUUGUAAAACCUCAAGGCAAAGUCAAUUUAUGGCUUUUCAUUUCCCUACUGAAAAAGUAUUCCAGAGGCAAGGGUAGAAUUGAUAGUCUGAUUUUGUCACAUACUGGCUAUUUAACUUUGUUUACCCAUUCCAGCCUGAAAUUUCUCUUGUGCAAGAUAAUAGUAAGAGCUCUAGAUUCAGGUCAGGAAGCUAGUACAAUGUCUGAAACAUUAUGGGCUCUGAUAAAUGCUAGUUAGCUUCCUGUCACAAGGAUGUUCAGAAUUGCAGCACUAUACCAAUUGCAAACUUUCAGUCUACUCAGUAAUAUCAAACAAUGGCAAUGUAUAUUGAAAUACUAUGCAUAAAACAUAUUUCUGUGAUGGACUUUAGCUAAGCAAAACAAAUUGAAUGAAAAAAAAUCAUGGAAUUUAAAAGAGAAAUAUUUAGAUAGUUGACAAAACUGAUAGAAUUUCAAAAUGCAAAUUUUGUCUAAAAAUGAAAAAAUAGAGAUGAUUAUACAGUGCAGUGUGGUUACUAGAGUUAUGUAUAUAUUUGAUGACGUUUAAGAGUUCCUUCGUGGCUUAGGGGGUUAACUAUCUGGUGUUGUCAUUGCUUUGGCUCUGGUUACAGAUGUGUGACAUGGGUUCAGUCCCUGGCCCAGGAAUUUGCAUGCCACAGGCAUGG
rnacentral:lncRNA from 1 species